rnacentral:rRNA from 1 species
GACAGAGGGGGCAAGCGUUGCUCGGAAUUACUGGGCGUAAAGGGCGCGUAGGCGGGAUGGCAAGUCGGUCGUGAAAUCCCUCGGCUCAACCGAGGAACGUCGAUCGAUACUGCUGUUCUUGAGGGAUUGCAGACGGAGACUGGAAUUCCCGGUGUAGCGGUGAAAUGCGCAGAUAUCAGGAGGAACACCGGUGGCGAAGGCGGUGGUCUGGGCCGGCACUGACGCUGGAGGAAGCGGAAAGCGUGGGUAGCAAACAGG